rnacentral:lncRNA from 1 species
AAAAAGAGGAAGAAGGCAGAAAGAGGACCAUGUCUCUGUGGCGAAGAGAUGGGGUGAUGGCAGCCUGCUGUCUCCUCCUGCACAGGGACUAGCGAUGGACUUGAUGCGCCUGCCUCUUCCCUCCCUGUGACCCCCUUUCCCCCAUCCUCACCUGAGACCACAAUGUCUUGUGUUUGGCACCCAAGCCUUCUGGUUUCCAUCCAGACUAUUAUUUGGAAGAAGUAUAGGCAGAUUCCGCUACAUGGUUACCAGUCUGAGUGUCUAGAAGAGCAUAUUUGAAACUUGGGGAUCCUCUUGAGUCUUCAGGAUCCCCGGAUAAGCAGCUCCAAACUCCACAGAGAAGCAGCUGGUCUCCUUCACUGAGAAAUUCCUCAGAUCCUCUUCUCUGUGGAUUUCAAAAGACAGGCCAUCUCCUCCCAUUUCAAUACACAUUUCUCACUUGAUUCUAGAACUUUCUUGUGCACUUCAGUCUUAGCUUCUCCCAGAACCCAACCUAAGGUUAAUUGGAGCUUUAGUGGUCAGUUAAAGACCGGGAUUGACCACGUGACCACCGUGGGCGACUAAGGCUCCAGCGCUGCGGACUCUGGGGCAAUGCCUGAGUUAUUCCUCUAAGGGGUGAGGGGGUAGCCACAUGUGUUAUCAUCCACUGUUGCACACAAUUUGGAUACCCCUGGACGGCCACAUCUGCAUGUGGGUGAGGUGACCUUCUGGGGGAGGAACACAGCCUAUCUAAGGCUGGAAUAGAUUGUUCAAACUGUUCCAUGUGGCAGGAGCCAGGGCUGCAAUCGAAAAGAAGAUUCCAAAAGGCUCUCUAGAGAAGGCUGGGCAAGCAGAGCUGGAUGCGAAGUGAGAGAAGGUUUAUUAUAACUCAGCACAAGCCCAUCCCAUCCACAUUCCAGGCAAAUCCACCCCAUAGAGACAGGUUGUCCUGCCAUGCGGCCGAGCCACAGCAGGCCUCUGGGUGCCAAGAGCCUGGGCUGGAGCAUAGAGGAUGUGGAGCCCCACUGUGUAGGUUCUGGGACUCCUGAGUUUGUUUCGGCCCCCACAGAGCUGUCCUGGCUAUGGUUCCCAGAGAGCCUCACUGCAUAAGGCUGCCCUUUUUCUUUCCUUCCUGUGAAUAGCACCAAGCCAUUUUGAAACAAGAAUUCCUUAAAAUAGUUUUUGUUUAAAGAAACAAGAAGCACC